GACGAACGCUGGCGGCGCGCUUAACACAUGCAAGUCGAACGGAAAGGCCUGCUUUCCCUUGUGGAUUGCGGGUACUCGCGUGUCGAACGGGUGAGUAACACGUGAGUUAUCUGCCCCCAACUUUUGUAUAAGCCGGGGAAACUGGGUCUAAUUCCCGAUAGGACUGCAGGGUGGGGCGUGUGGUUGAGGACGAUUUGCUAGUGGUUGGGGAUGAGCUCGCGGCCUAUCAGCUUGUUGGUGGGGUAAUGGUCUACGAAGGCGGCGACGGGUAGCCGGCCUGGGGUGGUGGGCGGGAGCAUUUGGCCUGCGACACGGGCACGAAUACUCCGGCCGGAAGCCGUCGGGAAUAAGGCGCGAUGGGCGGAAGCCUGAUGGCGCGACGCUGAGUGGGCGAUGACGGCCUUCGGGUUGUAAACUUCUUUCGAUAGCGCGCAAGCCCCUUGGUUGGAACGGGGGUGACGGUAGUGGUAGAAGAAGCACCGGCUAACUACGUG
rnacentral:rRNA from 1 species